AUUGAACGCUGGCGGCAGGCCUAACACAUGCAAGUCGAGGGGUAGAAGGCUUCGGCCUUUGAGACCGGCGCACGGGUGCGUAACGCGUAUGCAAUCUGCCUUACACUGGGGGAUAGCCCAGAGAAAUUUGGAUUAAUACCCCAUAGUAUUUUUGCCUGGCAGCAGGUGAUUAUUAAAGUUUUUCGGUGUAAGAUGAGCAUGCGUCCCAUUAGCGAGUUGGUAUGGUAACGGCAUACCAAGGCAAUGAUGGGUAGGGGUCCUGAGAGGGAGCUCCCCCACACUGGUACUGAGACACGGACCAGACUCCUACGGGAGGCAGCAGUGAGGAAUAUUGGUCAAUGGGCGAGAGCCUGAACCAGCCAUGCCGCGUGCAGGAUGAAGCAUCUAUGGUGUGUAAACUGCUUUUGUACGGGAAGAAACACCUCUACGUGUAGAGGCUUGACGGUACCGUAAGAAUAAGGAUCGGCUAACUCCGUGCCAGCAGCCGCAGUAA
rnacentral:rRNA from 1 species